rnacentral:tRNA from 1 species
GCAGUCGUGGCCGAGUAGUUAAGGCGAAGGACUAGAAAUCCAUUGGGGUCUCCCCGCACAGGUUCGAAUCCUGUCGACUGCG